UACGUAGGGUGCAAGCGUUAAUCGGAAUUACUGGGCGUAAAGCGUGCGCAGGCGGUUGUGCAAGACCGAUGUGAAAUCCCCGGGCUUAGCCUGGGAAUGGCAUUGGUGACUGCACGGCUAGAGUGUGUCAGAGGGGGGUAGAAUUCCACGUGUAGCAGUGAAAUGCGUAGAGAUGUGGAGGAAUACCGAUGGCGAAGGCAGCCCCCUGGGAUAACACUGACG
rnacentral:rRNA from 1 species